UGUGUGCAUGCUUCUGAACCCUGAGUGGUUCUCGCCUCCCACUGGGUGGAGCAGAGCUUUUAAGAGCAGCUGGAAUGCAGUUUCCCUAAUCAGUGCAGCCAGUUGUUGCCUGUCUGAACCUCAGCCAGUCCUGGACGGCAGUGCUCUGAGCUCCGACCCGGAGGCCCUGGUCCCAUACCUCUCAGCAGCACACUUUCACAGCUGAAUAAGAACAACGUGGUCACCCAGGCAGCCAUGGGAGAGGACGCUGCCCAGGCUGAGAAGUCCCAGCACCCGGGUGCUGACAUGCGGCAGGAGAAGCCAGGAAGCCCCAGCCCUGUGCCCUCCUCCACGCCGAGCCCCAGCCUGAACCUGGGGAGCACGGACGAGGCGAUCCGCGACAACGCACAGGUGAACGCCGUCACGGUGCUCACGCUGCUGGACAAGCUAGUGAACAUGCUGGACGUGGUGCAGGAGAACCAGCACAAAAUGGAGCAGCGGCAGAUCAACCUGGAGGGCUCGGUGAAGGGCAUCCAGAACGACCUCACCAAGCUGUCCAAGUACCAAACCUCCACUAGCAACACGGUGAACAAGCUGCUGGAGAAGUCCCGCAAGGUCAGCGCCCACACGCGUGCUGUCAAGGAGCGCAUGGACAGGCAGUGCGCACAGGUGAAGCGGCUGGAGAGCCACCACGCACAGCUCCUCCGACGCAAUCAUUUCAAAGUGCUCAUCUUUCAGGAAGAAAAUGAGAUCCCUGCCGAUGUGUUUGUGAAAAAGCCUGCUCCCUGCACUGUUGAAGGAAAGGAGGAGCUGGUGGAUGAAAACAAGUCCCUGGAGGAAACUUUGCACACAGUGGACCUCUCCUCGGAUGAUGAAUUGCCCCCCGAUGAGGAGGCCCUGGACGAUAGCGCUGAGGAAAAGCUGGAGGAAAGUAGAGCAGAGAAAAUCAAAAGAUCCAGCCUCCGAAAAGUGGAUAGCCUCAAGAAAGCAUUUUCUCGCCAGAACAUUGAGAAAAAGAUGAACAUACUGGGAACGAAGAUCGUCUCUGCAGAAAGGAGAGAGAAGAUUAAGAAAACCCUCACUUCCAAUCACCAGAAAAUCACCUCGGGGAAAGGCUCCCCAUUCUCUUUCGGUCGAAAGAAAGUCCGAGAGGGAGAGAGCCCUGCAGAUCAGGAGACCAAGUCUGAAGACUUGCCCAACGAUCAGGAGGAAGAGGGUCUUUCUGAAGGUGCCCCCACAGAAGGGAAGAGCGUGGAGGGGGAGGCCGGGAGAGCCGCGUCCAGAGGUAGUAACUCGGCCCUGGGCAGCAACGUCAACUUGACUAUUGCGGAAAAUGAAGAAGAAGACUCAGUGGCCCUGGAACAGGCACAAAAGGUGCGCUACGAGGGAGGCUAUGUGCUAAGCUCUCAGGAGGCGGAGAGGUCGGAUGAGGAGCCCGUGCAGCCCGCCGUGCUCCGGGUGGACCAGGCCUCCUGAACUAGCCCCGCCUUGGUGCCUGCUGGUGCUUCCAGCUAGCCUCUAACCCGAGCCUGGAAACACAAUGCCUGCACAUCUACUGCAACUACCCAGGCAUUGCUGUGCCACUGUGCAGUCUGCAUGAAUUUAGGGCGUGGUCAGCAGCACAAUGUAAUUGACAUUUCCUCUAAAGGCAAACUGUCCGGGUCUCCACUGCUAAUCCUUUUUUGAGGUUCGGUUUUUCACGAAAUCUCCCCAUGCUUGCCCUGGAAGGGGAAAUGAAAGCAAUUUGGCCCAGAUCAAUGUGGCUUAGGCAGAAAAUCCAGAGACUACUCAAGAUAUUAGUUACAAAAUGUGAUUCAUUUUCUGUCAUUCCAUAGGCUUGCUGAAUAGUACACCAGUAAUAAAGUUGCACAAAACUCUGUGAACCAGAUCAUCCGAAUGUGUGACAUAUAACAUAGCUAAAGAUGUAAUUAAGCUAAAGAGGCUUUUAAAUGGCAAAAGAAUGUUCACCUCUUGACUUCAUAGACACCGUUGUUUUACUGGAAAGGAAGGAAAAUUUGAAAGACUAAUAUUCUGUCGGUGAAAUAAAAUAUGCAUAUGCAGGAAAAUCGGGACAAUUAGAAAAAGAAAAUUAAGAAGGAGAAGCUGGACAAGGGAAAUGGGAAACAAAACUGUCAAAGAGAGUGAAGACCAACAUAAAAGUAAAUACAAGUCUCAUUCUUCAAGUUUAACUUUCUUGACAUCAGCUUGCCAACUCUGGAGAGCAUCUGAAUUUAUUGCAGCAGCUUGAUGAAUUUGAUAGUUCCAUCUGCAUUUUUAUUGUUUUGUACCAACCCUUUUAAUACCUUAAAUAGCCCUGUGAACAUGAGCAUAUCGAACAGUAAGUCAGUUUAUUCACACAGAUAAACCUUUGUCUUCUAUAGUACCAUAUACUUGGUAGACUUAAUUUAACCGGGGCCCUGAAGAGUGCCUGCUUAACUUUUAUGAAGUUGUUGUCACUUCUUGCAGCUGGAGAGAUGAGAGGUCAGACCUAAUGUACUGUUUACAUUUCUAUUUCAAAAUUUUUAUUUGUUCCUAAAAUUAUCUCACAUCAGUGAAAAAUUAUACUCAAACAACUUUUCUAUAUUUUACUGACAAAAUGUUCACUCUAUGUUCACAUUUGAAGCAUUAAAAUCCUAAGCAAUAAAACAGAAUUUGGCUAGGUAAUUGUUGGAAAACAAAGACUGUCAGGAUUAAAGAGAGCAGCCAAUGUGGAAAUUGGAGGUGUUCAUUCUUUAUUAUUGUUGAAUUAUUUGCAUACUGUUGAGCUGCAAAGUCCCCAAAUUAGAUCUGUCUUGUCCACCUUCCACCUCCAUCCAAUAACCAUUUCUAACUUUAUGAGCCUGGAGCUCAAGAACUGGAUUAGUUUUCCUCUAAAGAUUGGUUAUACAUUAGUAAGCACUGAGAUCUGUAUCCUAGGAACAUAAUUCAAGAGUAAAAAGUGUCUAUUACAUGGAUCAUAAAUCUGACAGAUAUGUAGCAACAAUGUCAUUUUCCUACAAGAUUUUAUUUUUUAAGUAUAUAGGCAUAUAUUUCAUCAGGAAUAUUUUAUUCUUUCCAUUUAGGAAUCUAGUAUAUGGUUGAACUUUUUACACGUGAAAAUAAAAAGCUCGUGCUAAACCCAGUUCUGCAUAAAAUAAGGA